UGGAAAUAGGGUUAGAGAUAGUGAAAUCCAAAACUCUCUCCCUCCUUCAAGAGAAGAUCGUGAACUCUCUCCCUCCUUCAAAAGAAGAUCGUGAACGGUGAUGGUGGUGCGGCUGAUUCCUCUCCUCCGAUCGACAACUACAACUAACAUUGCCUUCUUCUCUUUUCAUCACAAAUGGCAGCGCGACCUCCAUCUCCAGCGAUAUCUCCUUUCCGUCUCCGUUUGAUCCUCUCCGUCUCCGAUUUUUUCGAUUCAUGUUAGUUUUUGUUCAACAUCAUGUUUUAUUAACCUAAUUUGUUUGAUUUUUACAGAGAUUAACACAAAUUCUAAAAGGGAAAACGAAACCCUAGUUGUGAAAAAAUGAAGCAGAAUAGGGUUCGAGAAGAAGAAAUUUGCACUGUAGAGAGAACUAAGGGAUUGGGUAGCGCGCCAUCUCCCGUGCACGAUUCUUCUUCCCAACCUUCACCUUUCUCUUUUCUCUGCGUACAAAUCUAACCCUUCUUCGCCUUUUUUGUCAAAUUCGCCUUCGAUUUUUGGACAUCAUUCCGGUUUCUCUAAUGAGUCUGGUACUCCUCCUAAACCUCCUAGGAAAGAACCCAAGACACCCCACAAGGUGAGGGUGCUUAAACAGAUUGGAGUUUACUAUUGUGAGGUCCUUUAAUUGAAUUGGAUCUAUAAUGGACUCCAUUGAUGGAUGUUGAGAGGCUUUAUGGAUGUUGAAAAAGUACAAAUCUAACAUUGUCUGAGGGCUGAGUUGCUAUCUUUUGUUCGGAUAAUCUUGUCAGUUGGUUCCUUUCUUCAUUUAUUUUAUGUCUUCUUCAACAUUCUAGCUGCCUGCGUGAUUAUGCCCCAGUUGAGGAGAGAAGAGUUUUGGUGCGCUUUCCUGUCUUACUAAUAUCUCUAGUUUAUUUGUCCUAUGUUUUUGCAGGCUGACAUGCCAUAAUUGGCUCAUAUUCACCUAUUUCCACUGCUAAAGGAAUUUUAGUUAAGUUUAAUGUUCCAGCUGCUGCAGUGAUGGAAGCAACUAUAGAUGAUGGUUUUGCUGCUAAACUUGAUGCUCUUGCAUAGCUUGAUGAUGAACCUGCUCCUGAUGCCCUAAAGAAUGCACCAUUUAACAUCAAAUCUCCACUUGAUCUCCAAUUCCAAUUCUUCCACUGGCUUUGCCUCGCAUUCUCGCGCUUCGUCACCUGAAAAAUUAGUUCGAUUGACAAAGAAAUUGACUCUAACUCAACUCGUCGGAGUUGCACGUCGACACCGCGAUUUAUAAAAUAGGUCAUUUAAUAUAUGCUUUGCCAAUCGGAGCUCUACAACUAGUGUGGAUCCGGUAUGAGCGUGAUGGAAAUGAGUCACAGAGCUGAAUCGCAAUGUGUGAUUCAUACAUAAUAUGAUGCAUUUGGAUCUGCCAUGGCAGUUACAGAGAUGAAGACCCAGGAGAUGGAGACCCAACUGACAAUGCUACAAGAAUCUAUACAUGGUUUACUGAGAUUUGAAGUUACAUUACACCACUUUUAAGUAAAUUUUUGGGGUUUAAGGUCUCUUUCUGUCUCUCAUAUUUUCUCAUUCAUAUGGUUUACUUAAAGCUGAUUUUAUUGUGUAUUAUGAAGAUGCUUUAACAAGAAGACCUGUUAAGUGGAUCUUCUCCUCAGGAUAUACGGCUCAUGUGAUGACAUUUGAGGUUGGAGCAGUGCUUGAGGAUUCCAAUUGGCAUGCUCCUGUGUACUGUUUCAAUCAGACUGAGAAGAUUUUGGAAUCGGCUGCUGUUCGUGGUGAUUCUUUUGGGAGUUUGAUGAGAGGCAAAUUUGACGAUGUUCGUGACAUUUAAGGAAAUGGAUUAAAUUGUAUAUGCCUUAUCUAUUUCUGUUUUGGGGAUAGGUAAGGAUUGUUUAGUGUAGUCAAAUAUUUAUAUCAAUUUUCCAUCAUCGUCUUGUAGGGAUAUGGAUGCAUAUUGUUUUCAUCCAAGCUCAUAUGUCAAGUUCAUUUAGUUUAUCUCAUCUUAAAAUUUUGGGAGAUGAUGAACUGAAUUGCUAAGUCUCAUAAGGGAUAAAAUAUAACUUAUUUUGAUGUAAAUAAGUAAUCUAGUGAUUAAUUAUAUA